GGGCCCUUAGGCUAGCCUGGAUAGACUGGGAGCUUGCGGAGCUUCAGACCGGGGUUCGAAUCCCCGAGGGCCCG
rfam:Candidatus Micrarchaeota archaeon CG1_02_55_22 cg1_0.2_scaffold_8091_c, whole genome shotgun sequence.